AUGAAUGCAGACAAGCGUAUACCGUUGCAUGACUUACAGAAGAUUACAAAUGAUUUCUCAGAGCACUCAAGAAUAGGUAGGGGUGGGUACGGAGACGUUUACAAGGGAGUUUACAAUGGGAGAGAGAUUGCCGUGAAGCUACUCCAUGUUGAUACUCUACGAGGACUUGAUGACCAAUUGUUCAAAAAUGAAGUUGGCAACCUUUUGAAGGCUGAGCAUCCAAAUAUCGUACAAUUAGUUGGUUAUUGUUAUGAAACAAGGAAUAUAUAUGUUGAUAACAAUGGUGCGAACGAUUUUAGUCAGCGCAUAUAUAAAAUCAUCUGCUUUGAGUACUUGCAGGGUGGAAGCCUUGACAGGCGUCUAUAUGACCACUCUUUUGCACCUAAUUGGAGCACACGUUACAACAUUAUAAAGGGGAUCUGUGAAGGUCUAAAUUUCCUUCACAAAUGUAAACCACGAAUUUUGCAUCUUGAUUUGAAGCCCGCCAAUAUAUUACUAGACAGUUCCAUGGAGCCUAAUGUGGCGGAUUUUGGAUUGUCAAGGCUCUUCACACAAACACAUACUCAUGUCACAGAAAAAAUCAUAGGAACCCAGAAGUACAUGCCACCAGAAUUCAUAAAAGAUCACAUAAUCUCACCUAAGAAUGAUGUCUUUAGUGUAGGUGUUGUCAUGAUAGAGAUAAUGACAGGACCUACAGGUUACUCCAAUUCUUUUGAAAUGGGCGAUCUGGCACAACUAAGGGGGCAGGUAAUAGACAAUUGGAAGAAUAAGAUAAAUGCCACAUCGAAGUACCCAUUAGAGGAAUCAAAUCAAAUGGAAACAUGCAUCGACACAGCAAUGCGUUGUGUGGAACCUGACAGAAACAGUCGACCCACUAUAGCAGAAGUUCUUGAUAUUCUGAACAAGACAGAAACUCAUAUUCCCAAGAGACAGUUGGCAGAUGUGGUCCUGUGUCCGACAAUUGGUUCCAAGAGUACAAUGUCUGAUACAUUGAAGAUGAUGAUAGAUGAACUAGAAAAUAUAACAAACCAAAACCAGCAUUUGAGUUCUAUGUCAAACAAGAGCUCUAAUGUACGAGAAACAACAUCAGAUGUGGAGGAAGAAGUAGUGAUUGGGAGGACUGAAGAAAUAAAGGAAAUAGUGGAUACUAUAUGUGAGAGCAUCACACCAGAGAAUAAGAUCACCAUCCUUCCUAUAUAUGGCAUUGGAGGUAUUGGCAAGACAACCCUAGCUCAGUUAGUUUUCAGUGAUUGCCGGUUCGCAGGCUAUUCUCGGGUGUGGGUUUAUGUGUCCCAAAAUCUUGACCUGAAUAAAAUUGGAAACUCUAUUAUAUCACAGCUAUCAGAGGAGAGCCACCUAGCUGAAAAGCAGAUGAUACAUAAUAAACUCAGAAAUGUACUUGCUGGUAAGAAGACUCUUAUUGUCUUAGAUGACGUGUGGGAGGAGAAUCCAGAUACACUAAACUCUUUGAAGGCUAUGGUAAGACUUGGUGCGGGCAGCGAGAUAACGAUUAUCGUAACCACAAGAGAUGAAGCCAUUGCAAGGGAAAUUUGUCAUGCAGUUGAGCCAUACAAGCUAGGAACUUUAACAGAUAAAAUUUGUUGGGGAAUAAUAAGACAAAAGGCUGCCUUGGAAGAACGAGUCGACAAAGAACAAUUGGAGCAGAUAGGAAGGGAGAUUGCCAUCAAGUGCGGAGGUGUGGCUUUGGCGGCUCAAUCACUUGGGUAUAUAUUGAGGUACAUGAGCUCUGACCAAUGGGAGUCAGUGAGGGACAGUUGCAUCUGGAAUUUAUCUACCCAGAAAGAUCCAUCAUCAAGAAUUCAUAAUGUGCUUGCAUCCCUGCUGCUAAGCUAUAGCCAUAUGCCUGAUUGGUUGAAGUUGUGCUUUUCCUACUGUGCAAUCUUUCCAAAAGGUCAUUGUAUAGUGAAGUAUGAUCUAAUUCAUCAAUGGAUUGCUCUUGGAUUCACCGAGCAAUCUUAUAUGUUUGAUCCUAUGCAGCUCUGCGAGAAUUAUGCAAGGCAACUUUUGGGGAUGUCCUUCCUUGAGUAUUCAAAGACAUCUUCGACUGAUAGAACAAGAAGGCAAGACAAAGAAUGUAUGUAUUUCACGAUGCAUGACCUAGUGCAUGAUCUCGCAAAAGAGAUCUUGUCCCAUCAAAUUAACACUGGGGGAAACAAAUGUCGCUAUGCAUUGCUCACAGAUUGUAGCAGCUCAUUGAAGUUGUCCGUGGCUUUUCCUGCAAAUAUUAAGGCUCUACAUUUUCGGGACUGUGGCAAACAAGAACUUUGUGGUGGUGCAUUUUCACCAGCUCAGUGCCUCCGUGUCUUGGAUUUAAGUGAAUGCUUUAUUCAGAAGUUACCUGAUUCUAUUGGUCAACUGAAGCAACUGAGGGUUCUGUGUGCUCCGGGGAUACAAGAUAAGAUGAUUCCCAGUUGUGUCACCAAGCUCUCAGAGUUAAAUUAUCUCGACCUUAGAUGCUCUCAGAAAAUCUCAGCAUUGCCUGAUUCAAUUGGUGAUAUGAAAGCUCUGCUGCAUCUUGAUUUAUCAUAUUGUUAUGAGAUUUGUGAACUACCCGAAUCCUUCGCGGAGCUGAAGCAGUUGGUGCAUCUAGAUUUAACAUAUUGCAGAAGAAUAUCUAUAUCAAAAUCUUUUGGUGGAUUUACCAAUCUUCAGUAUUUGAGAUUAGCAGGACAAACUAAUAUAGACGUUGAUAGGAGAGAGCUAUCAGCGGUCAUUGGUAACCUAACCAAACUUAGGUAUCUAAAUCUAUCGGGAUCCAUAGAGAGUAUGAUCACAUCAGAUAAAGUUGACAGCUUGCUUGCCUCUAUCAGCACACUUUCCAGUCUAGAGCAUCUGGACUUGUCUUAUAAUGAAGCGUGUAGCAGUAUACCAGAAAAUAUUUGCAACCUGAGGAAGCUUCAUACAUUGGACCUAGAAGGCUGCAAAAAACUGAAGAAGCUUCCCGAUCGUAUGGACCAGAUGGUUAGUCUGAAGGUUCUAAAUUUAAAACAUGUUAGGUUGGAAGAAUUGGCGGUCUCUCGCUUCAACUGUGCCUCUUUGCCACGCUUUGUGGUGCAUGCUUCAGGUGAUAGAUGUUGCAGCAAUAUCAUCCUUCUUCAGCCUACAAAUCCUGUUGAGCUGUGGAUAGAUAGACUUGAAAAUGUGAUGUCUGUAGAAGAAGCACAUAGUAUAAAAUUGAUGGAGAAACAAAAAAUUGAAGAGUUGAGAUUUCAAUGGACUGUAGCGACUGGAAGGUUUGUGGAUGACAAGGAGGUGUUGAAAAUACUAGUGCCACCAAGCAGUGUACAUAUAUUGACUAUAUCUGGUUACGGGAGUGUCAGCAUUCCUGAUUGGUUUAUGGAUAUUAGGCGAUAUCUCCCUAUUCUUUCUCAGUUGUAUUUGUGUUAUUUUCCUAAGUGCAAUAACCUACCACCACUUGGUGAACUACCAAACCUACAAUGGCUGGGUCUCUACUAUAUGGAGAGCUUGCAAGAGUGGAACAUGGGAUAUACCAGUGGUGAGGAAGGUGCAAGUGAGCUCCCUAAGCUUGAGUGCUUGACCAUAGAGCAUUGUGCCAAGCUGAGGAUAAAACCAUGUGUGCCUAGAGCUACGUCUUUGUUCAUACGUGGUUGUGACGCAAUGCUAUCAUCAUGGGGAGAGAGCCCUCCACACAACGGUACUUCCUCUUCUCCAUUAACACAGCUGGGUGUUGAAGACAGCAAGGUGCCCAUGCAUGAGUGGAGGUUGCUUCACCACCUCCCUGCCCUUAGUUGGUUAUCUAUCGUUAGUUGCAGUGAUCUGACCACUUCACCUGGGGUAAUCCAACGCCUCUCCUCCCUGGAAACAUUGUGCCUCGGAUCAUUGUCCCUCAACCAAGCAGAACUGCCAAGAUGGCUGGUUGAGCUGACAUCUCUGCAGGAGCUAACUCUGCGUGAGUGUGCAAUCACGACACUACCAGAGUGGUUAGGAGAACUAACCUCUCUCAAGAAUCUGGAGAUUAAGCACUGCGAGGGCAUCAGGUCAUUGCCAGACAGCAUCCAACAAUUGUCCAGGCUUGAAAAUCUAUGCAUUGAUGGAUGCCCUACAUUAGAGAAGUGGUUUGAAUCAAAGGAGAACAUGAUGAAGCUCGCUCACAUCAAAGACGUACAGGUGUUCCCACUAUCAGACUACCCACCAGACUCAGACGAAGAAGACUAG
rnacentral:rRNA from 1 species